AACGAACGCUGGCGGCAUGCCUAACACAUGCAAGUCGAACGAGACCUUCGGGUCUAGUGGCGCACGGGUGCGUAACGCGUGGGAACCUGCCCUUAGGUUGGGAAUAACUCCCCGAAAGGGGUGCUAAUACCGGAAAAUGUCUUGGGACCAAAGAUUUAUCGCCUUUGGAUGGGCCCGCGUUGGAUUAGCUAGUUGGUAGGGUAAAAGCCUACCAAGGCGACGAUCCAUAGCUGGUCUGAGAGGAUGAUCAGCCACACUGGGACUGAGACACGGCCCAGACUCCUACGGGAGGCAGCAGUGGGGAAUAUUGGACAAUGGGCGAAAGCCUGAUCCAGCAAUGCCGCGUGAGUGAUGAAGGCCUUAGGGUUGUAAAGCUCUUUUACCCGGGAUGAUAAUGACAGUACCGGGAGAAUAAGCUCCGGCUAACUCCGUG
rnacentral:rRNA from 1 species